UACGGAGGGGGGCUAGUGUUGUUCGGAAUUACUGGGCGUAAAGGGCGCGCAGGCGGCUUGGCAAGUCGAGUGUGAAAUCCCUUGGCUUAACUAAGGAAUGGCGCUCGAAACUACCUCGCUAGAGGACGGGAGAGGGAAGUGGAACUCUCGGUGUAGGGGUGAAAUCUGUAGAUAUCGAGAGGAACACCGGUGGCGAAGGCGGCUUCCUGGCCCGUAGCUGACGCUGAGGCGCGAAAGCGUGGGGAGCAAACAGG
rnacentral:rRNA from 1 species